GACACGGCCCAGACUCCUACGGGAGGCAGCAGUGGGGAAUAUUGGACAAUGGGCGCAAGCCUGAUCCAGCCAUACCGCGUGUGUGAAGAAGGCCUUCGGGUUGUAAAGCACUUUAAGCAGGGAGAAAAAGUUAUAAGCUAAUACCUUAUAACCUUGAUGUUACCUGCAGAAUAAGCACCGGCUAAUUCCGUGCCAGCAGCCGCGGUAAUACGGAAGGUGCAAGCGUUAAUCGGAAUUACUGGGCGUAAAGCGCGCGUAGGUGGUUUGUUAAGUUGGAUGUGAAAGCCCUGGGCUCAACCUAGGAACUGCAUCCAAAACUAACUCACUAGAGUACGAUAGAGGGAGGUAGAAUUCAUAGUGUAGCGGUGGAAUGCGUAGAUAUUAUGAAGAAUACCAGUGGCGAAGGCGGCCUCCUGGAUCUGUACUGACACUGAGGUGCGAAAGCGUGGGUAGCGAACAGGAUUAGAUACCCUGGUAGUCCACGCCGUAAACGAUGACAACUAGCUGUUAGGAGACUAUGUCUUUUAGUGGCGCAGCUAACGUUUUAAGUUGUCCGCCUGGGGAGUACGGCCGCAAGGCUAAAACUCAAAUGAAUUGACGGGGACCCGCACAAGCAGUGGAUCAUGUGGUUUAAUUCGAUGCAACGCGAAAAACCUUACCUACUCUUGACAUACUUGGAAGCUCUUGUAAUGAGAGUGUGCUUUUAAGAACCAAGAUACAGGUGCUGCAUGGCUGUCGUCAGCUCGUGUCGUGAGAUGUUCCGUUAAGUCGGAUAACGAGCGCAACCCUUACCCUUAUUUGCCAGCGAUUCGGUCGGGAACUAUAAGGGGACUGCCGGUGAUAAACCGGAGGAAGGUGAGGACGACGUCAAGUCAUCAUGGCCCUUACGAGUAGGGCUACACACGUGAUACAAUGGGAGAGACAGACGGACGCUAAGCCGCGAGGUGGUGCUAAUCCUAGAAACUCUCUCGUAGUCCGGAUUGGAGUCUGCAACUCGACUCCAUGAAGUUGGAAUUGCUAGUAAUCGCGGAUCAGCAUGCCGCGGUGAAUACGUUCUCGGGUCUUGUACACACCGCCCGUCACACCAUGGAAGUGGAUUGCACCAGAAGUAGAUAGUCUAACCUUAGGGAGGGCGUUUACCACGGUGUGCUUCAUGACUGGGGUAAAGUCGUAACAAGGUAGCCGUAGGGGAACCUGUGGCUG
rnacentral:rRNA from 1 species